rnacentral:rRNA from 1 species
ACUCCUGCGGGAGGCAGCAGUGGGGAAUUUUGGACAAUGGGCGAAAGCCUGAUCCAGCAAUGCCGCGUGAGUGAAGAAGGCCUUCGGGUUGUAAAGCUCUUUUGUCAGGGAAGAAACGGUGAAAGCUAAUAUCUUUUGCUAAUGACGGUACCUGAAGAAUAAGCACCGGCUAACUACGUGCCAGCAGCCGCGGUAAUACGUAGGGUGCAAGCGUUAAUCGGAAUUACUGGGCGUAAAGCGUGCGCAGGCGGUUUUGUAAGUCUGAUGUGAAAUCCCCGGGCUCAACCUGGGAAUUGCAUUGGAGACUGCAAGGCUAGAAUCUGGCAGAGGGGGGUAGAAUUCCACGUGUAGCAGUGAAAUGCGUAGACAUGUGGAGGAACACCGAUGGCGAAGGCAGCCCCCUGGGUCAAGAUUGACGCUCAUGCACGAAAGCGUGGGGAGCAAACAGGAUUAGAUACCCCUGUAGUCCCAUGAU